rnacentral:ncRNA from 1 species
CCUGAUGUGUUAUAUGUGCUAUUUUUCUUAUGCGGUGAAUCCCCCUCAGCGGCGGGGCUAAGCCACAAAGGGGUGAAAGCCUGCCAAUUAGCGGGUCAGGUGUGGCAUUUCCUGACUCACCGGGAGGCACCCGGCACCGCUCAGU